CAUAACCUCAACAAAGGACAGUUUCUCUCAACAGUUUUAACAGAAUCCUGACAUUUAUUCCUUCAUUGAUUCACAUGCCCACCCCAGAGCCACUGUGGCCCAGGAAAUGUUCUCCCAUCUUCACAGGACACAUUGGACUGAGAAAUGAGGAAAUUUACUUCAUAGGAAUACAUGGAUCAUAACCAAAGAAAGGACUACAUAUACAAGUAUUAUCAGGUUUGGCUGGUAGAAGACCAAAAGGGAGCACUGAGAAUUGAAAGUGCUUAUUUUUCAUAUUCAAGAAAGGUAAAGGCUGUUCUUCAGUCAAAGUCCCAAGUUGUGAACAAGUAACCACUGGUAAUCAAGAUAACUUCCAAUUAAUUCAAAAGCUCUGAAAAUGAAUCAGUAACAUCACACCAGUGACUCUGGUUCCAAAAAUGAGCAAGUCAACAGCAGCCUCACCACAGUCUUAUGAAACUGGGCAAAUUGAUGCCAACGUUACACUUGUGGACAAUAGCUGGGCAAAAGUGCCUUGCUCCAGUGACCACACUGCAGCUCUCCCUCUCCCUGCGCCAUUGAGGACACAGUGAGAAGGCAGCUCUUUUCAAGCCAGAAAGAGAACUCUCACCAGGAACUGAAUUUGUUGGUACCUUGAUCUUGGACAUCUC
ensembl:lncRNA